UAAAACAAACAUACCCGCAUAUCUCCAACAUUUAAAAAUUAGAUGAGGGACCAGAAAACAAACUGGACGAGUUUUUCAGUGCUGCUUUAAUGUGCUCAAGGAGAAGAUGCUGCUUAACAAGUAGUCUGCCAAAUCCUGUAUCAGCUGCAGUUUCCAGACAGAAGUAAAAUGCAGUCCCACGUAGAGCACAUUACGGUAUCUAACCUGGCAGUCACAAUAGGUGAUUGAUGCAAGAUUCUCUCCCAGCAGAAAAAGUAUUUGACACAAGAGGUUACUUAGCAACAUUUAGACAUAGGGCUAAAAUGACAAUAGGAUAGAGGUUUAAUAAGGGACUACAAGAGGACCAAAUUUCAAGACUGACCACAAUAAUGGGAGGAAGUGCAAAUGGCAUCUUUCCACAUGACCAAGACUCCCACAGGAAAGGGGAAGGAUAGCCCAAAUCUCUUUGGACUCCAGUUGAAUUUGGUCAGCAGUUGCUGUGAUGGGGACCUGUGCACACCCUACAGCCCAGAUACGGCUUCAUCUUCUCACCUCGCCUGGAACAUUUUAAGCUCUUGAGUGGGUUUGUCUCAAAAAGUAUCUGCAAGCCAGGGUGCAAUAAAUAAAUAAAUAUCCAUACA
rnacentral:lncRNA from 1 species